AGUUUACUCCGAAGUGAGCGGACGGAGGAUUGUAUCUGAUGGGGCACCAUGGCUUUUUCUGUAACCUCUUAGUCUUUCCAAUGGAAAGGGGAUUUUUCCAGGUAACUCUAUUCUGGAAGAAUUGUUGCUUUCCCCAGCGAUUAAAGCACAUAGAAGUUAGAAAAUUAUAUUAGCAUUAUCCUGAGACAACAGUUUCUGGUGUAAUAUGAAACAGGCCUGUAAGCAUCUAAACAUGGGCUUUUGAACUGCUAGGUGGGCAGGAGCAGAAGCAAAUGACGGAAGCUCACUUCAUCACAAAGCAGCAUUCGGGCUUCAAACACGGGCUUGCAGAUUAUCAACCCAGUAUCCUAACCAUGACUGAGAAGACUGGCCUGAAGUCACCUGGUGAGCUUCAGGGACAGCUUGACGUGGGCCUGAGUCUCCCUGGUUCCUAACCUAACCUAUGCCAUGGUGAAUCAGCUGUUACCUCUUUUCAAACAAACAGCUUCCUUGACAAGUUAAGGGGAAAUGAGGCUUGGAGCACAAGAUGUAAAUUUUAUAUGCUGCUGACUGACCAAUUUGAUUUUUACAUGAUAAAUGAAUAGGUCCACUACUAAAUGGCUAGCUUAGUGUUAUUAAUUUGUGCAGCAUAAACACAAAAGAAGCAACAGGAUUUUUAUGUUGUCUUGUAGGCAUAAUGGUUUUUUAGCGGAAAAGAAUCAUAUGGAAAUUGAUUCACUGUUCAUUUUCCUAAGAGCAGCUGCAAAAGAAAUAUUAAUUAUUUUAGUAAUGUGAAUGAUUUGCAAAAUAUGCUGCAUAUAUUUUAUGGCCCAAUAAUGGAUCAUGAUAGCCACUCAGUCCGAAAGCUAUUUUGCCCUUUAUAUGAAAAUAGUUAAAACUACAGCAUUUAUUUAUAAAUAAAUAAUAACAUUUCAAUUCUGAAAAAAUUAUGCUCCUGGGCUUUGUUAUACAAGUGAAAUCUAAAAUUAAUCAUGGUGCAUAAGGAACUGGCCUUAACCUGAUUUUUAUUAAGAUCUUUGGAAGCUGAAAUACUUUAAAAGGUAAAAGUUCUCCUCGUACAUAUGUGCUAGUCGUUCCCGACUCUAGGGGGCGGUGCUCAUCUCCGUUUCAAAGCCAAAGAGCCAGUGCUGUCUCUGUGGCCAUAUGGCCGGCAUGACUAAACGCCAAAGGCACACGGAACGCUGUUACCUUCCCACCAAACGUGGUCCCUAUUUUUCUACUUGCAUUUUUUACGUGCUUUUGAACUGCUAGGUUGGCAGAAGCUGGGACAAGUACGGGAGCUCACCCCAUUACGCGGCACUAGGGAUUCGAAUCGCUGAACUGCCAACCUUUCAAUCGACAAGCUCAACGUCUUAGCCACUGAGUCACCGUGUCCCUUUAAUACUCUCACACUCUCUCUCUCUCUCUCUCUCCCUAUUAUUUAUAUAUAUAUAUAUAUAUAU